CAGUAGCCACGGUAAUACAGAGGGUGCGAGCGUUAAUCGGAAUUACUGGGCGUAAAGCGCGCGUAGGUGGUUUAUUAAGUUGGAUGUGAAAUCCCUGGGCUCAACCUGGGAACUGCAUCCAAAACUGGCAGGCUAGAGUAGGGCAGAGGGUGGUGGAAUUUCCUGUGUAGCGGUGAAAUGCGUAGAUAUAGGAAGGAACACCAGUGGCGAAGGCGACCACCUGGGCUCAUACUGACACUGAGGUGCGAAAGCGUGGGGAGCAAACAGGAUUAGAUACCCCAGUAGUCCCUGUCUCUUAUAC
rnacentral:rRNA from 1 species